GGAAGUGUGUGGGGCAGCCAGGUGGGAUAAGAAACACCCGUUAGCAAAGGCUGUUAUAACUGUGGCAAGGAGACAACAGUUCCCUGCCCUGGCGGACACAUCUCAGGGUCAGGAGACUGGUUCUGUCCCUUCCUCCAGCAGCUGCAUGACCCAGGCUGGUCACCUCAUCCAGACAGUAGGGCUGGGAGGACAUGAAGCGGACUGUUCUGCUUCGUGACUGAGCAGAGCAGAUUUGAGGGCAGAAGAUGGGAAUCUUGUGGGUGUGUUGAGUAGGGGGAGACUUCCUCCCGCAGUGCUCCCUAUGGGGACAGAGGAUGACAGUCUCAGGGUGGCUGCCUAAGGACUCUUUCCUGCAUCAUCCUCGCUGGGUCCUCUCCGCAAACUUCUACGGUCCAUCAGUGGCCACUGACUCAAAGUCUACCAAGGUGUGGGCCUGGGCGUGGGAUCAAGACCCGUCCACUUGUCCCCUCUCCCCCUCAAAACAAUUAUUUUCCAAGUCAAGUCAGCCCUUAAAAUCCACAAGGGCUGCUUCGCAGGAGAGAAGCCAUGAAGACUCCCUGACUGGACGGGACGGGGCUGCGCCCUGCUGCUGCCUCUCAUGGUCCCCUCCCAGGGGCCGGCAGCUCCAGGGUCCCCAGAUGGCAGGCCUGGGACACUCUGUGGUUCAGCAGACCUUUCGAGGGCCUUUUAUCAGGCAGAGACUGAGAAAGAGACAGAAAAACAAGCCGAAGAGGGAGGGCGGUCUCCCCAAGGAUGGAAUGUCCUCCAGGGAGGUUAGUGUUGGUCAAUCCUCUCUCCACUCAGCAGGCCAGGAUGGACCGGAGGCCUGAAGGUGGAUUUACCUGGGCUGGGGACGGGACUGGGGCAGGGCAAGAGGGAGCCCCAGGAGGCUGGCUCCACUGGGCUGUGCCCAAGAAAGGAUUGGAGCACGUGACCGAGUGCUGCGCAGGGAGGAAGCAGCGGGGCCUGAGAGUGCCCCAUGCCUCUGCCCAGAAACCAAGCCUGGGGCUGCACGGGGCCCCGCCAGGGAAGCCUGAGGCAGCUCACUUCUGUCCUGAGGAACCUCCUUGCUGGCCAGAUUCCAGGUUUCUAGGUCUGCUCUGUGGAAGGCCUUGCAGAGGCGAGGAGAGCCUGGUCUAUGGGGAGACAGGUUCCCAGGCUUUCUGAACAGAGGCUGCUUUCAGAACAUCUGACAGUCCCUCGGCCUGGACAAGUGGCAGCCCGGCAGCUCUCAGCCUCAAUUCCCAAGGUUCUCCAGCCCAGCUGCAAAGGAGAGUCACUCUCAAUGUCCAGGCCCCAUCCCUGAAAAACCAAAAUUUCUCAGCAAUGGUGAGGGGAAAUGGCAAGAGGGGCCAGGCCAAAGUGAAAGAGUGAAGAGACACAAUCAAAUGCGAAGUGUGCAUCCUGAGUUGAACAAACCAACUGCAGAGAGACGUCUGGGAAAUCUACACGUGGAUGAAUGUGGGCCAUCAGGGAAUUUGAAUUAGGUGAUGAUGAGAAGAUACCGUUCAUCUUGUUAGAUGUAUUGAUGGCGUGGCUUCAUAUGUGAAAUAAAGUGCCAGCUAGAAAUUCAUAUGGAAGAAUUUACAGGUAAAAGAACAUGAAGUCUUGGAUUUGCUUUAAAACUCUCCAGCAAAAACAAAGAAACAAAAACAAAAAUGGGAGGGGGGUGUGGUUGGGGGAAGAGGUGCAUGGAGAUUCCCUCAUCUCUUGAUUCUUGUGUAUGUUAACAUUUUUCCAUAAUAAAAAGUGUAAAAAUAAA